UUUUGUGCAUUUGCCCAUAGGUUACAGCUGCUGUUAGCUCCAGUCAAAAGCAAUGUUUUCUUUACAGUGUACAGCAGCUACUAUGAAGACAUAGAACAACUUGAACUGCUGAGAAUAAGGAAUUAUUGAUGUGGAAUAGCAGCCCAGUGAUCAGACAUAAAUGAAAGAGUAAUAGUGCAUCCACAUCAUCCUCUUUAAGGCCUAGGGGACAUUAUAAAAGAAGGUACAGAAGGAAUAGAGGGAUGGAGAAAGGAGUGAAAUAUUAUAUACCCAUUUGAAACAUUUCUUCAUGGAGGAAGGGUAGGCUUAUAAAGCAUAUGAAGCUAGCAGGACUUACAAACCUCACAAAUUUCAAAGGCUCAUGAAGUUCACAAGGCUCACGAAGCCCCUCCCUAAGGUUACAUAAGCAAUCAUCAAUUACUGGAAAGGAAGAAGGUGCCUCAGUGCUGCCUGCAAAUAGUACCUGGGGCUCAAACAAUGCUGCGUUUGUGAUGCAUCACUCACUCUGGCAUGGAGAUUUCUUGGUGAUGUACCUUCCUGUGUCACCCACGCAUGUCUGUAAGUAGGCCGUCUCUCAGGCUCCCCAUCUCAGCAUCUGUAUAAGGAGCCAUUUUUCCAGGACCCUGUUGAUGGACAUCUUCUGACUGGGCCUAGGUAUGAUGUGCACUCUGGGAAAGGAUUACCUUUGGAACACUGGAAUACAGACAAGCACUAUUGUACUCAGCUCUACAUGGUUUCUGGCAUGGAAACUCACAUCCUCAUCACAGCAAACAUUUGGCACACUGAGCCAUCUCCUCAGCCCCAUCAUGUGCCUUCUUAAGGGGAGAAGUGGAAACCAACAAUAAUGGAUGAAGAACAAAUCGGAAGUAGAAUGCUAAUACCCUGGGAUCCAAACACUCACUACAGAAUAGCAAGUAAGAAACAAAUAGGCCCAGUUUUCGCAAGCAGUUUCAUGAUUUAUAUUCCACUACUUAAACAUGGAACCUGAAAGGCAUAUGUUUUCAUAUUUAAGAUGGAGGAAAAAAGACACCCAAGAAGCUUAAAAACAAAAAAUAAAAGAAACAAGAAACUCACCUCCGUAAAAUGUGGCUAGGAAUGAUUUUUUUUCUGGUUAGACUAUUUGCUUUAACAUAAAAACUCUUGGUUGAAAAGACUGUUACCUGAGAAAUCUGCACAACCAGAGACUUCUAGGCCAGCUCUCCACCUGAGGGUCACCAUCAAUCCUACUAACACACUGCAAAGAAAGAUGGAGUAAGUAUCUGUAAGGUUAAGCGAAACAAAUAGGCUGGCAUGGACCACAAAUCCUGUGAGGACGGAAGUAGGAAAUGUUGACUUUACAUCUUAUUAGAACAAGAUGGCACAAGUAAUACAGUCUUCAUGAAAACUGAUAUUUUAGUGUUGAGAAGGAGAAAAUACUAGAAAGGAUCAAAGCUCGUUUUGUAUUCACCAAACUAGUGGAGUGCAAAAGAGAAGAAGAACAACUCGAAAGGAUGCCAAGACUGCCAGCCACAGGGCUUGGUACAUACAGUGCCAAAGGGAUAGAACUGAAUGGGUAACAAAGACUAAAUCACACGUGCUAUGUGCCACUGAUGGUGCUUUUUACCUUGUUUGAUGUCAGUGCCAAUGGUCUGACAUGGUGGUUACUUAUUAACAUCACUGCUUUCUUACUAGGGAAAAGGGCCGGAAACACUAAGCGACUCCAUGAAAUCACUCUAAGCCAAGGCUUGAAGCCAGUCUUCUAAACAAAGUUAUUUCCAACAGGACAGACUGAAGAAAGAAAUGAAGGUUGCCUUCUCAGACCACUAUGACAGGUUUGUAAAGUUUGAAAAUAAUUAAGGAAAACAUUUAUUUAGUAGCAUAGUAAAGAUGAAAACUUUAUAUUAUACUUAGAGAUAACCUUUUGUCAUAUUAUAACACAUUGUUAUAUAAUUGUAAUAAAUUUAUAAAAUAUCAAUUACAAUAAAUAACAAAAUAAGUUAAAAAAACUAAGAUAUUUUUCACACUGAAGUGAGAUAUCUACAUUUCCAGAUGUCUAAGAAAAAAAAAUUCUAAGCUUAAUAGCCAAAUGGAAAUGAUGUGUCCAGAUUUAUGGCCCAAGUAAACAAGUAUUAAAGUAACAGUGCUCAAAACUAUGAGUCAGUUUUUUUAAAAAACAUUAUAAAUGCUCUGCUCUGUUUUUAAAACAAUUUUAAAGGCAUUGUUCAUUUUUGGAUAUUUUGUGGCAUAUUAAUAGACAAUUGAAUGAAGUUGUCCUUAAACACUUAGGAGAGGGGACAUUAUAUUUUUCAAUUUUGGAUGCUUUAUCUUCGAACUCUGUUCACAGUGGAGACACACUUGAAGGUUCUCCCAAACAAUGUAGGUUAUAGCCAUUGCUUUUGGUUGCCAAGUAGAACAUGAUGGUUAGACCCUGUUGCUGAAGAUACCACAUACAUUGUUCACAGGACAUGGAGAAAUCAAGUUGGUACUAAUCUGGAAGCUUUCUCCCUACUGGCUAGCUCUCAUAAUAUUGGAAGGUGCUAUGCAGAUUGCUGAGGAGUGGAGGUUCAUCAGCAGUGUUACCCAGCAGUGAACCUUAUGAGCUGCAAUAAUAAUUAGGAUAGCAAGAUAUGACCAUGGAUGCAAUAGUGGCAUGGAAGUUACAGGGUUAGGGAGAGUAUAAACAGACACAGAGCCUGAAACGAAAACCUCAAGGGUCACCUCCUAGUGAUCCAAUUCCUCUAGCUAGGUGCCACCCCAUAAGGGUCUUACAACCUUUCAAAACAGACCACCAACUAGCAACCAACUGCUCAAGCAUGGUAACAUAUUAAACUAUUUACAUCUGAGCCACAACACUGCCCCUGCCUUGGUCUCUGGCUUCCAGUAAACAGCCUUCUCUCAACUUCUAUAACCUUAAGUUCAGAUUCCACAUAGGAGUGAGAUCAUUUACAGCUGCCUUGUCUAUCUGAUUUUUAUUAACUAAAUACAAUGAUUUCCAGGUCCAUCCACACUGUUAAAAGUGAGUUGUGCCGGGCGGUGGUGGCGCACGCCUUUAAUCCCAGCACUCGGGAGGCAGAGCCAGGCGGAUCUCUGUGAGUUCGAGGCCAGCCUGGGCUACCACGUGAGUUCCAGGAAAAGGCGC